UAAAAUUUCCACUAGGAUAUUUUAUCCCCUUCAACAUAUUUAACUUCCCCUCUUAUUUUCAAUUAGCCAAAAAAGGAACUCAUACAAAAUAAAUUUAAAAAACUCUCAAUAUAAACAACUCUAACUCUCAUCUUCUAUGGUUUUUGUAGAAUCCAAGGAAAACCAUGGCAUCAUCUAGGGUUUUCGGAAACUAUUUCAGAACUCUAAUGGCUGAAGCAAAGACCUCCGUCGAAAGACAUCUCCGGCCACCACAACAACCGUGGCUGGAAAAGGUCGUUCUGAAUGCAUACUGAAACCUCAAUCGAUUUCACCUGCUCUGCAAAAAUUUGUUGGUACUUUUGACAUAUCACGUAGUGAUGCAGUUAAGAAAAUCUGGAGUCCAUCAAAACCAAUAAUCUUCAAGUUCACUUUCCAUUUCCUCUUUAUGUUACUUAUGAUAGAGAAUAAACCUUUGAAUGUUGAUAGUAUUGUUCUAUGGAGUGGCCCUUUUUGUGGAAAUGUUACAUGGAUGUUGUUAAGGAUUAAAGGUAUGAAAAUGGAAUCUUUGCUAAAAUGAGGGGUUUUGCUUGAGCUAUGCCAAGUAUGGAUACCUUGUCGUAAAAUGCAAUUGUUAGUAUAGAUGUAUAGUAAUUAGCACAUUAGAUGAUAAAAUAGAAAAAAUUAUUUAUGAUGGCUUAUCCUAGCAGAAUCCAAAUGCACAUGUCAGUAGGUGUGACAGUAUGACAGAUUUGAGGUGCUAAAAGUGACUUGUAUAGUUAACAUGGCACGGGAAGAUAUUGCAUUUUUAUUUUAAUUAAACAAUUUCCACAGGGAUGAUUGUUAUUCCUGUGCUUCUGGAAUAUUUAUCAACAAUUAAUAAUAUAGUAAUGACUACUCUAGAAUGUCAUAUGAAAAUUGUAAUUAACAAUCAGUCUUUUAUCUGAUCCUUUGAGUGACUUUCUUGUUUCUAAGAUAGUUUAAUUGUCUUGAUCAAUCACAUAUUAGAUGGAAAUCUUAACAUUCUUUGAAAGUCUAGUUGUUUCUGCGAGAUUAAGAAGUCUAAAAAAUAAUCUGAAGAUGUGCACCAGAUUAAAGGAUAUUGUCAUUUUCCCUAUCUAGUAGACUAGCUGAUUAUGGAAGUAAUGGGUAUCCAAAGGUCUGUUGAUAUUUGGCAUUGAGUUCUCUGUUAUGAGUUGGGCUACUGAUUUACAUGUGAUAUAAAAUGAUCAAUUCUCUCUCCCUCUCUGUCAUUUUACAAUGUGAAAGAUGUACAUAAACUAAGAUUAAGCUUAUUUUGGUUGGUCAUUAUAACUCUUGGGUAAUUAGAGGCUGGUGUAGAAUAGAAUUAGCACACUACAUGGUAAUGAAUAAACUGGUCGGUAGGAUAUCGUUUUCUGCAAUUUCGACAUGUAUGAUAAUUUGAUAAGUUAGACUUUGCGACAGUUUAUAUGAAGAAAGUAGGAUGCUCAUGGCUUGCGACCCUGAAAUACUAUGAUGUGUGAUUUAAAUAUCAUGUGCUGAAUAAUGCCUAAGCUUUUAUGCUCAAGCUACGUCAAACACUUCGUAUGACCAGCUAGGGCAUCUUUUAUAAGACAAAGCCGUAAAAAAUUGCUGAUAUAUUACACCAGUUGUCAUACAUGUUUAUCCAUUGUUUUGUUCGAAGAAACAUUAAAGAUAAUGGAGACGUAUUUAGUGGACAUGAAGGUUAUAUGUACAUUUUCAAUUUUUCUGACUCCCAUAAUGUCUAUCCAAAAGGAAAAUAUAUUGUUUUUUUUACAGAAGCUGAAAUCAACAACCCGCAAAACGAGCUAAAGUCUGGCAUAGACAUUCUUGGGGCUCUCAAUGGGAUAUUUUAAGUAACUUAUGACAAAUUCCUACCUUCAGACGAUUUUGAUGCUGAUAUAUGUUACAUAUCAAAAGUAAGUUCCGAUACUAGUUACUGAUUCUAUUCUAUUUCUACAACUAUUUCAUCUAAAAUAUAUCAUCCAACAGCUAUGGCCAUGUUAAUACAUGUUCAGACUAUGAGCUUUUAUUUCUCCAAAAGAAUGAAAACAUAGUUUUUCCAUAUGAUCCUAGAUUCUAUAGAAUUAUUAUUGAAAACAGAUAGGGCCCGUUAAAAGAGAUGUUUUCUUUGUCAAAAAGAAUAGUUAUCUGCCAGAGACUUCUUAUGCAAUUUAAUAUAACUGAAGAGUGAAGAGUGAGAAAUACUGUAUCAAUUUUUUUUGCAUUCUGUUUCUUAUUUUAGUUGAAGUGUUGGCAGUUGAUUUAGUAAUCUAGGGAUACAAUAGUAACCUUAUUUGUAGGUGAUUCAUGAUUGUGAAGUAGGAACAUAAAACAUGGUGACAUCGUGUUAGAAUCAAUCACAGUUGUUUAUAGCUAUAGCUACCUAUUGAAUCCUUGACCUCAGACAAUUGGUACCAUCUAAUUGUAUAUGUCAACCCUGAACUUGACAAGCCACCGCUCUUUCCAUUUUCCCCAAUUAGCUGCUCCGUCUGAAAUGCAGAGUCUCACUAAAUUCACUAUUAUAUAAAUUUUGCUUUCUAUCUGGAAGUUUCUAAUGUCAUCGUCUUUCCCUCAAUUCACUCACCUUCUACCUUCAAAUUGCUAUUUAUUGAUUAUAGCAUGUCAAAAUGCUUAUUGCUAUGUACAUUACUGUCUGCAAUUGUUAGAAUUGUUGAAGAUAUACCAUCAUGUAUUUGAAUUAAUGUUGAAAAUUGUACACGAGAAAAUUGUAUGGCAGCAAUACGCUAGAAAUGGGAUGCAAGGACCAACGAGUUUGUCCAAGAUCAGCAGUGGUGGAUACUAUGGUACAAAACCAUCUGAGAUACCUUACUACAUGGCACCAAUAAAUGGCAUUGGAGUGCCACCUGUUGGAGGUGAGGGUACGUAGUCGAUGAGAAGAAGAUAAAAUUGGCUGAAGAGAAUGAAUACUGUGGAGUUGAUGGUAUAUAAAUUGAUAUGGGCGGACAUUUCAAAAUUUCUCUAAUAGAAGGAAAAUUCAGCUUCCAACAGAUGUGAUAUGUGUGAAAUGAAGAGGACACAACAACAUAAUAGGUCCACGACUAAUCCUUGCAUGUCCAGAAAAUUUUUAUGCAGGUACAAUGUGGGCAGUCACUAAAAUCCUAAGGACAAUGGAACAUUCAAAACGACCAUCUUGAGAGUGUCUUGCUAAGAAAAAGAGAUGUUAGACUAUCUUGAGAGUGUUCUUGCAUCUGAGCAUGUUGUUGUGAAGAGUGGGCAGUUCAUUGUUGAAGUUAAGCCUCAGGUACAAACUGCAAGACCCAAUGAAUAUAGUAGGAGAUAUGUAUGCUACUGUUAUGUUCCUUGGCGGAACAAACAGAUUCUACUAUAUUUUCAAAGAGGAGGAUGCCUAGUAUUGCCAAAAUCAAUAAAAAAUACCAAAAUUGGAGAAGGAUGACAGGACAUCUCAUUGUACUUGAGGGAAGUGAAGGUGAGCAAAUUUGAAGGUCGCCACUAGUCAAAUUGAUCUCAUUGAAGUGGAUGAUGGAGAGUAUUUGAACUGUUUUAAAUGUUUGAAUACAUUAUGGUUGAUUUUGUGAAAUAUAUUCAUUGCUAGAAUAUAUUGAACUACUGUAAGAGUAUUUUUUGAACUAUUGUGUACACAACACAUAUUAUGUUUUGAAGAUUAUGGAAAAUAUAUAAAUUUGAAUUACUUAUAAGCUAA